rnacentral:rRNA from 1 species
UACGUAGGGACCGAGCGUUGUCCGGAAUCAUUGGGCGUAAAGAGCGUGUAGGCGGCUUGUUAAGUCUUGCGUGAAAUCUCGGGGCUCAACCCCGAGCGGUCGUGAGAAACUGGCAGGCUAGAGUGCGGGAGAGGAGAGUGGAAUUCCUGGUGUAGCGGUGAAAUGCGCAGAUAUCAGGAAGAACACCAAUGGCGAAGGCAGCUCUCUGGGACGGUACUGACGCUGAGACGCGAAAAGCGUGGGGGAGCGAACAGG